GACGAUUUUAUUUCACACAGAUGAAAUGUUACAGUGUGCACGCAUUCAAAGAGCCGUAACUGGUUGCAACAUCUGUUAUCAUUGCUCAGCGUGCCACCGUUCAUUGCCGACAUAUAGUAAUGAAGAACACAAACAAGCAAUUAUAAAUUGUGAAAUUGUGCAAAAUCAUAAAACAGUUUUUUUUGUUCGUUGCCAGCAGUCCACAUUGGGUACCUACCCUACGUUCUUGAGAGAAAAAAAACGUGUAUUUGGUAAUAAAAGCAUUCAGGCGAAGGUACAUAAGAUGUUUGCAAGUGCAAAAGUCUACUUCCCUGUACAGAAAUGAUCACCGUGCACCACGUACACGCCGUAGGGUGCACCUAUUGCCAGAAGGCCAUACCCACAAGGCCUCCAGACAUGGCGCACCCAUAACGCAUCAUGGCCGGUGACCCAAGAGAGACCAGGAAUACUCAAUUUAAGCUGUGAGAAUACACUACACACAUUACAUACACAUUAGCCUCACGCAUUGUCAUAAAACUACAAUAGUAUGCUAAGUGAGUGGGCGAUAUAAAUAAGAUUUAUAUCCAUUUCUUAUUGAUAUAAUUUAAAAUUUAGAUAAUAGAAAUAUUUGCCUUCGUCAUAUCGAGCUUCCGCUGCGCAUCUACCAUGUACUGCCGUAAACGUCUCUUAAAACUAUCGACUGUGUUCAUAACUCUAAUAGGUGGUGGAAUAUUGUUCCACACUUUCGCUGCUGCAUAUCGGAAACUCCCUCUAAACGCCGUGGU